ACUUGGAUAGCUUAAAUAAAGCAUCGGUCUUGUAAACCGAAGAUUGAGAAAUUACUCUUCUCUCCAAGUA
rnacentral:tRNA from 1 species